AACUUUUAGCAAUGGAUCUCUUGGCUCUCGCAUCGAUGAAGAACGCAGCGAAAUGCGAUAAGUAAUGUGAAUUGCAGAAUUCAGUGAAUCCUCGAAUCUUUGAACGCACCUUGCACCCUUUGGCAUUCCGAAGGGUAUGCUCGUUUGAGUGUCAUUGUACUCUCACACUCCCGAUGCUUUUGGAUUGGGAGUGGUGGACUUGGGUGUUGCUGCUUUACUGUGGCUCACCUCAAAUGGAGUAGUGCAACUCUUGGUUGGACAUAGUACGGCGUGAUAAGUGUCUUCGCCGGCGCCUCAUUAGAGGGUGGCCGAUCGGGAGCUCUGUGCUUCAAACCGUCUUCGGACAACAUCUGACAACUUGACCUCAAAUCGAGUAGGACUACCCGCUGAACUUAAGCAUAUCAAUAAGCGGAGGCU
rnacentral:misc_RNA from 1 species